rnacentral:rRNA from 1 species
UACGUAGGGACCAAGCGUUGUUCGGAUUUACUGGGCGUAAAGGGCGCGUAGGCGGCGAAUCAAGUCAGCUGUGAAAUCUCCGAGCUUAACUCGGAACGGUCAGCUGAUACUGUUUUGCUAGAGUGCAGAAAGGGCAACCGGAAUUCUUGGUGUAGCGGUGAAAUGCGUAGAUAUCAAGAGGAACACCGGUGGCGAAGGCGGUUCUCUGGGCAUGUCCUGACGCUGAGGAGCGAAAGUGUGGGGAGCGAACAGG